GCCGGGGAAGGUGUGAGAGUGGUAACAUGACAGCGGCGGAGGUGGUGGAGUUCCAGAGAGCCCAGUCUCUACUUAGCACCAACCGGGAGGCCUUCAUCGACAUCCUCCACUACAUCGUCAAGAGUGACAUCCAGGAGAACGAUGAAGAGGCAGUGCUGGUCAAACAGCAGAGCAUCCUGGAACUGGGGUCCCUCCUGGCCAAGGCUGGACAGGCUACAGAGCUUGGAGGACUCCUGAAGUAUGUGUGACCCUUCUUGAAUUCCAUCAGCAAGAUUAAAACAGCUCGUCUGGUGCAAUCUCCUCUUGAUCUAUUUCUUGAUAUGGAAGCAGCUGCGGGGCAGGAGGUCGAGCUAUGUUUACAGUGCAUCGAAUGGGACAAAUCAGAGAAAAGAACUUUUUUACGUCAAGCUUUGGAAGCAAGACUAGUGUCUUUGUACUUUAAUACCAAGAGGUACCAGGAAGCAUUGCAUUUGGGUUCUCAGCUGCUGCAGGAAUUAAAAAAAAAGAUGGAUGAUAAAGCCCUUUUGGUGGAAGUACAACUUUUAGAAAGCAAAACAUAGCACGCCCUAAGCAAUCUGCCCAAAGCUCGAGCUGCCUUACCUCUGCUCUAACCACAGCAAAUGCCAUCUAUUGCCCUCUAAAACUGCGGGCCACCUUGAAUAUGCAGUCAGGUAUUAUUCAUGCAGCAGAGGAGAAGAACUGGAAAACUGCAUACUCGUACUUCUAUGAGGCAUUUGAGGGUUAUGACUCCGUCGAUAGCCCCAAGGCCAUCACCUCUAUGAAGUACGUGUUGCUGUGCAGAAUCAUGCUCAACAUCCCAGAAGACGUCCAGGCUUUGGUGAGCAGGAAGCUUGCCCUUCGGUAUGCAGGGAGGCAGACAGAAGCAUUAAAAUGCAUGGCUCAGGUCACAGGCAGAUUUUGAAAAGGCCCUGACAGAUUAUCAGGCAGAAAUUGGUGAUGACCCAAUCAUCAGUACACACUUGCCCAAGUUGUGUGAUAACUUACUGGGACAGAAUUUUAUCCGGGUCAUUGAGCCUUUUUUCCCGAGUACAGAUUGCCUCAUCAAGCUGUCCAAGGCCGACGUGGAAAGGAAAUUGUCACAGAUGAUUCUUGACAAGAAGUUUCAUGAGAUUUUGGACCAGGGGGAGGGUGUCCUGAUUAUUUUCGAUGAGCCCCCAGUAGAUAAAACUUAUGAAGCUGCUCUGGAAACAAUUCUGAACAUGAGUAAAGUAGUGGAUUCCCUCUACAACAAAGCCAAGAAACUGACAUAGAGUUGAAUCUGUAGCUGUCCUUUGGAGAGUGUAUGUGGCGGGAGUGAAACCUUGGGGGAAAUGCUAGGAUAUUGUGUUUUUUAUUUUUUUCUUUUUGUUCUACUUUUCACUCAGAAAGUUUUCAAAUCCUUAUUUGGUGCAUCUGUAGUCCAGCUGAUAGGUGUGCCAGUUUUCAUGUAAUCUUUACUG